rnacentral:rRNA from 1 species
UAGGGAAUCUUAGACAAUGGGGGCAACCCUGAUCUAGCCAUGCCGCGUGUGUGAUGAAGGCCCUAGGGUCGUAAAGCACUUUCGCCAGAGAUGAUAAUGACAGUAUCUGGUAAAGAAACCCCGGCUAACUCCGUGCCAGCAGCCGCGGUAAUACGGAGGGGUUAGCGUUGUUCGGAAUUACUGGGCGUAAAGCGCACGUAGGCGGAUUAGUAAGUUAGAGGUGAAAUCCCAGGGCUCAACCCUGGAACUGCCUUUAAUACUGCUAGUCUUGAGUUCGAGAGAGGUAAGUGGAAUUCCGAGUGUAGAGGUGAAAUUCGUAGAUAUUCGGAGGAACACCAGUGGCGAAGGCG